rnacentral:rRNA from 1 species
GACGAACGCUGGCGGCGUGCUUAACACAUGCAAGUCGAACGGUAAGGCCCUUCGGGGUACACGAGUGGCGAACGGGUGAGUAACACGUGGGUGAUCUGCCCUGCACUUCGGGAUAAGCCUGGGAAACUGGGUCUAAUACCGGAUAGGACCACUGCCUGCAUGGGUGGUGGUGGAGAGCUUUUGCGGUGUGGGAUGGGCCCGCGGCCUAUCAGCUUGUUGGUGGAGUGAUGGCCUACCAAGGCGACGACGGGUAGCUGGCCUGAGAGGGUGACCGGCCACACUGGGACUGAGAUACGGCCCAGACUCCUACGGGAGGCAGCAGUGGGGAAUAUUGCACAAUGGGCGCAAGCCUGAUGCAGCGACGCCGCGUGAGGGAUGACGGCCUUCGGGUUGUAAACCUCUUUCAGCACCGACGAAGCGCAAGUGACGGUAGGUGCAGAAGAAGGACCGGCCAACUACGUGCCAGCCGCCGCCGUAA